CAGGAGAGAGACCAAGAGAGGAGAGAAAAGGGAGAAGCCAAGGGAAGAGGAGGAGGAGGAGGAGUUGUUGGCUCUGGUUCUGGUUCCGGUCUGCGUGGAAUCGCCGGAGGAGAGGGGAGGGACGGCGGAGGAGGGAGAUGGUCGAGAGCUGACUGCGCGGAUCGCGGUGGCCGGAGGGGGGGAUCGGCCGGAGCAGGGACACUGCGGAUGGUAUUGGGCUUCGCCGGCGCCGGAGGCGGCGAUCGCGGAUGGGCGGCGGGGGCCGCGGGUGCUAGUGGCGGCGGAGUCGGAGGGGUCGGUGCUCGCGUCGGUCUCCGGGGAGGAGGUGUUGCAGGAGCAGGAGGAGCGCGGGGGGAUGAAGCAGGGGAAGGGGGGGAGGAAUGGGCUGCUGCCGAGCUCGCUGCGGAUCAUAUCGUCCUGCCUCAAGACGGUCUCGUCCAACGCCGGCUCCGUCGCCUCCACGGUGCGCUCCGCCGGGGCCUCCGUCGCCGCCUCCAUCGCCCCCCAGGCCGAGGACGAGAAGGACCAGGUUUUGUGGGCUGGAUUUGACAAAUUAGAGCUUCGUGCGUCAUCUUUCAAGCAUGUUCUGCUCGUUGGCUACUCUAACGGGUUUCAAGUGCUUGAUGUUGAGGAUGCUGCAAAUGUUUGUGAAUUGGUCUCAAAACGCGAUGGUCCAGUUACCUUUUUACAAAUGCAACCCACACCACUUUACUCUGAAGAAACUGAAGGAUUUAGGGCAUCACAUCCUAUGCUUCUGGUUGUUGCUGGGGAUGAGACAAAUGGCUUGGGUAUGGUUCAGGGUGGUCGUUUAAGUGCACUGAUCAGGGAUACAAGCACUGAACCUCAAUCUGGAAACUGCAUUUCUACCCCAACAGUUGUUCGCUUCUACUCUUUGAAGUCUCACACCUAUGUACAUGUUCUCAGAUUCCGGUCUGCUGUAUAUAUAGUUCGUUGCAGCCCCCGGGUUGUGGCCGUAGCACUUGCAGCGCAAAUCUACUGCUUUGAUGCUGUAACUCUUGAGAACAAGUUCAGCGUCUUAUCAUAUCCUUUACAAGGGGCACCUGGAGCAAACAUUGGGUAUGGUCCAAUGUCUGUUGGCUCAAGAUGGUUAGCUUAUGCUCCCAAUGGUCUUGUAUUAUCCAGCACUGGUCGUCUGAGCCCACAGAACCUCACACCUUCUCCAGGAGUGAGCCCAUCUACUUCUCCUAGCAAUGGAACCUUAGUUGCUAGAUAUGCAAUGGAGUCCAGUAAGCAAAUAGCUGCUGGUAUAAUCAAUCUUGGUGAUAUGGGGUACAAAACACUGUCAAAGUACUGCCAAGAACUGCUGCCUGAUGGUUCUAAUUCUCCUCUGUCAUCAAGUCCAGGAAGGAGAUCCGGCAAACUUCCCUCCACUGUGCAUCCACUUGAAGCUGACAAUGCGGGAACGGUUAUCAUCAAGGAUGUUACCUCCAAAGUUGUUAUAUCACAGUUUAGGGCUCACACCAGUCCUAUAUCUGCUCUUUGUUUUGAUCCUAGUGGAACCCUUUUGGUCACAGCCUCUGUUCAUGGCCACAACAUAAAUGUUUUCCGGAUCAUGCCAACCUGCAUUGCUAAUGGCUCAGGUUCAAAACGAUAUGAUUGGGCAUCAUCUCAUGUUCACCUUUACAAACUGUAUCGUGGCAUGACAGCAGCGGUCAUACAGGACAUAUCUUUUAGUCAUUUUAGCCAGUGGGUAUCUAUUGUUUCAGCACGAGGCACUUGCCAUAUUUUUACAUUGUCUCCAUUUGGGGGUGAUUCAAGUUUGCAGCCACAGAAUUCUCACAGUGACGGGCCGCCUCUUGCUCCAUGUCAGUCAAGGCCAUGGUGGUCAAAGCCAUCAUUUCUUAUGGAUCAACAGCUUCAUCCUGUGCCAUCAACUGUGACAAAUUCGGUGGUCAGUAGGAUAAAAAACAAUGGUUCUAGUUGGCUAAAUACAGUCAGCAACGUGGCUGCUUCUGCAAGUGGAAAACUAUCAGUGCCAUCUGGUGCUAUAACUGCUAUUUUUUACAAUUCCAUUUACAAAGGUUCUCUGCCGGCUCCGUCGAAGGCUAAUGCUUUGGAGCAUUUAUUGGUGUAUUCACCGUCUGGUCAUGUUAUUCAACAUGAACUUCUGCCUUCUUCGGGUUCUGAAUCCUCUGAUAACAGCCCAACAGUUGGGCCUGGCAGCCAUUUGCAGCUCCAAGAUGAUGAGUUGCAUGUCACCGCUGAGCCAGUUCAAUGGUGGGAUGUUUGUCGUCGGACAAACUGGCCUGAAAGAGACCAGGACAUUGCAAAUGUUGUAUUCCACAACCAACUAAACAGGAUGAUGACACCGGACACUUCUGACUGUGAGGAUAGUGACCAUUCUGAUUUCACUCCAUCAAAUGAUGGUGUAUCCAGAAAAGAGGUUAUGAAAGUUAAAGAAAGAUCAAGCUGGUAUCUCUCAAAUGCAGAGGUUCAGAUAAGCUCAUGGCGGAUUCCCAUAUGGGAGAAGUCUAAGAUUUGCUUCUACGUGAUGGAUCAUCCUGCUACAGAGUCAGGGGAAGCUGUUAGCGUUCAUGGUGGGGAAAUUGAGAUUGAAAAGCUGGCUCUUCAUGAGGUUGAACUCAGGAGGAGGGAACUGCUCCCUGUGUUUAAGCAGUUCCACUAUCCUGAGCAAAAUAGCAACCUUGCAAGCCGACAAUUUCAGAAUGCAUUAUCCGCCAUUGACAACACACAGUAUAGCUCGGCAAAGGAUAGUGAUGCAUAUGGACCCAAACCAGUGCCUCAUAUAUCUGGAUUUUACACUGAUAUGAGAAAAACAGAGAACAUGAAUGGUUUAGCUGGGCAGUUAUUUUCUGGACCUAUUCCUGCUGUGGAUAUGCUGCCAAAGGAAAAGUGCAAUUCUAUUGGAUCUCCUGAAGCUAGAAAUUUGACUGCCAAUCACAAAGUAGAUAAUGGGAGCAUUGGCUAUGUGUCUACACCAAAUGGAACAAAUGCAUCCACCAUCAUGCCUCAGUCUAUAGAGGGUGUGGAUUGUUUACCAUCACACAUCAGACCAUUGAGCAACUAUUCCCUCUUGGAUGGACCUCUUGAUAAUGGAUCACCUUCUCCCGCAAGUAACGAAUCAUGCGGGCCUGAAAUAACCAAUAAUUCUCUAGUCAGCAAUGGUGCCAUUACUGAUAUCCCAAGUGGAGGUCACACGGGCGUCUAUUCUGGACAGAAUGAAACACCUGGUUCUCAGAACUCUGGAGAGUUUACCCAGUAUUUCCAAGAGGGCUAUUGUAAAAUAUCAGAACUCGAUGACUGCCGUGAGUUAACUGAAGCUGUUACUGAUGCUGACAGCAGCAGCAGCCACUGCGAGAGAGAGAAGCCCGAGGAAGAUGGGGACAACGAUGACAUGCUUGGAGGGGUUUUCGCCUUCAGUGAAGAAGGUUGAACUUACUAUACUGCUUUACUUGGGAUAGAUAAUGGUAAACAGUUGCCACACCAUUCAGUGUGCAAUAUUAUGUAGAAAAUGGUGGAAUUCUAGUAGGCUUCCGUGGAAUAAAGUUGUGCCGCGUCGAUAAUCUAAUGUUUGGUACAUAUUUGGAAGGUGAAGUUUGCGCUCCAUGUUUAUUUGCCGGAAGAGUUCACUCUGGAGUUUGAGUCGAAGAUCCCUCCAGGCAAUUUACUAAUCCACGGAAGGAAGGGAGUUUGGUGUUUGUCGAGAAGCUGCCACUGCCUGCCGCGACACUUGGCCCGCCCUUUUUCUGUUUGCUUUGUACAUACUGUAAGACCCAUUUGUUUCGUGAGAUACACUUCUGGGACAUUUGGAUGGUCUGAAACCCUGGCGAGCCAUAUUUGUUGACUGCUUCCUGCCAGGGCCUGUGAAUGUUCCAUGUUUAUUUGUACAUACUUUCAUGUUUUAUUAAGAGAAAGGAAUGCUGGCAACGAUUAAUGUGACAUAACUGUAUAAACAUUCAGUGAAAGAUUUCUGUUUACGAAGUCGCUAUGUUCUGCUC
rnacentral:rRNA from 1 species